GCAUUGUUAGUGUAUAUAGUGUAUACAUUUAUAUGUAUAUAAAGAACAAUGACAAUAAUAUAUGUAUUUACGUUAACACUAUUUUUUUUCUAGAGUUCCUGUUCCAGUAUGUACAAGUUGCGAAUAAUUAUUGGGCAUUAUUGUUUUUGCCUACAUAUCGGUCAUUGAAACCAUGAUUCACUGUAUUAAAAAAAUAAGAAAACGGCGGUUUCUAUGUAAUUUGGAACUUUAGUUUUUCGACCAAACAGUCUUGUGGUUUAUUCAAUUGACUUCGCGUCGCGGUUGUGUGUUUUGAUUUUUUAAUAUACAUAUUCAUUAUUAAAAAGUUAAUAAAGAAUUAAUAAACAAAAAAGUAUAAAUUAUUUAUAGUGAUAACAAAAAAGUGAAAAUGACGAGAAGCGUGGCAGCAGUAGGAAAGGAAAUAAGUCUUUGCGAGUUAGAGGUCAAAAAUGGCAAUCAUAUUGAAAUUCUCAUUGGGAAGUGGAGAACAGCGUGGAAUAAAGUCUUUCCAAACAAAUAGGAUGGGUAAAUAAUCUCAUUGGCCGACGCUUUUCAAGAGUACAAUACGAAUGGUAAAUAAAAAUUGU